AUUAAUGCACAAAUCAAAAAGGGCAGCCAGACCCUUAAGAUUUUUCCGGCUAACCUAUUCCUUACUGUCUGCCUUCCUAAAGCAGUGGAGUGAAAAACCUACAGCCAGGCCUUUGUCAUGGACGCUGCCUUCCCUCAUGCAGGCACUCCCAGACUGGAAAAAAAUCGGGCAACGGAAGGAAGAAAGAGGGAAGGACAAAAGCCAUGUCAUACUCAACACUUCUGCUUACGUCUCAUUGGCCAGAAUGAAGUCACAUUGCCACUUGAGCUGCAAGAGUGACUGAGGAACGUGGCGUUUGAUCUGGGCACGCUGCUCUCCUGAAUAAAAUUGAGAUUCUAUUACCAAGGAAAAAGGGAAGAAUCGAAGCUAACAACAUUUCUGUCAUAGUUUCUAAAAAGAACUGUGUCCUCUGACCAUCUUCUAACUCAUCCCGAUUCCCAUUUCCUAGAGGAAGAUUAGCCCUCAGCUAACUACUGCCAGUCCUCCUCUUUUUGCCGAGGAAGCCUGACCCUGAGCUAACAUCCGUGCCCAUCUUCCUCUAGUUUAUACGUGGGACGCCUACCACAGCAUGGCUGCCAAGCAGUGCCAUGUCGGCACCUGGGAUCCGAACCAGCGAACCCCGGGCCGCCGAGAAGCGGAACGUGCGAACUUAACCGCUGCGCCACCGGGCCGGCCCCAGUAGCUUCUGUUUUUAAAGAUGUGAAUCUUCUUGGCUAAAAAGCCAUACUUAUUCUCCUGACUUUUCUUUGUGAAUUGAUAUUGCUAUUGAAAAUAACACCCCUGAAGACAGAGCAAGUUUAAGAACCUUGGUCAACCAGAGUGUUCUGUCAAAAGGACUGCAGAAGCUGCAUCCAGAUUUGGCUGCACUUGUGUGGGCUGAGCACCCCGUGGCAUCAGAGAAUCCUGCCCACCACCGCCCAGCAGAAAGGUCCAUGAGAACGGACUUGAGAUGGACACUGGCAGAGCAAAGUGAGUCUGAGAUGACUCGGGACUGUCCACUGCAGCUGCAGCUACAGGCAGAAAUGAACUGAGAGGGAAUGACAUGGUGGGCAUGCUGGACGUGUCUGCUACCCUCCCUGACUAUGACCCAGAACUCAGUUCAUGCUCAGCAGUUUGAUAUUUAGGCUCCAUGAUCUAAUCAAUGCAUUUGAUUCUGCAAUUUAAUUGAAGGUACAGUUUGAAAUCAGUGAUAACCUGAAGUUACAAAGUGAAGAUUAACAUCACAAUUGCCACCUUACUCAUAUUCAGGUAGAAUUUAAAUCCUUGCAUUCUCUUCUCUCUCUUCCUGCUGUUUAACUUUCAAAUUUCUCUCUGUAUGCUACUAUCUCUACUUAAGGAUAGGAAUGAAAAAGCAAGGUGUGAAAAUAGAACCUGUCAAAUAUUGUCACCUGUUAGUGUCUUCUAAAAGUCCUUACGGAAUAGGAGGCUGAGGUUAUUGGCUAAAAUGAGGUUUGGGGAUUAUAUGUGAUUUUAAUUUCUCCACACUAUCCAAUUUCUAUAGUUAAUUUGGACAUGACUCAUAACCCUGAAAAGUCAACACAGAACACAGAGAAGAAAGAUGCAUCAACUUCUUAUUAUUGUUGAGGCUGCAUUUCCUGUGUGCAAUGGGCACAGUGGACAAAGGAUACAGAGGAAGUGUGGCAUGGUGAAAACUGCAAACUUUGUGAGUCUGAGUUUUCCCAUUUGCUAGCCAUGAGACCACACAGCCUCAGUUUCCUCAACCGUAAGAUAAGGGCAAUAAUAGCAUCCUUGCAGGGCUAUUUUGGUUAGGCAUAGUGUUUGGCAUAUCCCAAUUGCAUUGUUACUAGUCAAUUAAUAAACAAAUGAAAAAUCCUGGCUCUAUUUUGUAUCCCACUUUGACUUACUUUUUGGGUAAAGCUUACAUUUACUGACACAAACUACCUAAACUCAUUCAGACUAAGGCAUUGAUCAUAAAAUUAGAAAAUUCCUUGGGUUGAUAUUCAGUUGAAUAUACAGGUGCCAAGAGGCAAGCAUACUCCCCAUUUUACCCAUCCCGAGAGGGUGGACCAGUCUCCCAGUGACAAGAAUAACUGCUCCC
rnacentral:lncRNA from 1 species